UACGUAGGGGGCAAGCGUUGUCCGGAUUUAUUGGGCGUAAAGCGCGCGUAGGCGGCAAGGUGUGUCGUGCGUGAAAUCUCCCGGCUUAACUGGGAGGGGCCGUGCGAAACUGCCUGGCUUGAGGUCGGAAGGGGAAAGUGGAAUUCCGGGUGUAGUGGUGGAAUACGUAGAUAUUGGGAAGAACACCAGUGGCGAAGGCGGCUAUCUGGACGGUUUCUGACGCUAAGACGCGAAAGCGUGGGGAGCAAACAGG
rnacentral:rRNA from 1 species